rnacentral:rRNA from 1 species
GAUGAACGCUGGCGGCGUGCCUAAUACAUGCGAGUCGAGCGAACAGACGAGGAGCUUGCUCCUCUGACGUUAGCGGCGGACGGGUGAGUAACACGUGGAUAACCUACCUAUAAGACUGGGAUAACUUCGGGAAACCGGAGCUAAUACCGGAUAAUAUAUUGAACCGCAUGGUUCAAUAGUGAAAGACGGUUUUGCUGUCACUUAUAGAUGGAUCCGCGCCGCAUUAGCUAGUUGGUAAGGUAACGGCUUACCAAGGCAACGAUGCGUAGCCGACCUGAGAGGGUGAUCGGCCACAGUGGAAAUGAGACACGGUACAGACUCCUACGGGAGGCAGCAGUAGGGAAUCUUCCGAAAUGGGCGAAAGCCUGACGGAGCAACGCCGCGUGAGUGAUGAAGGUCUUCGGAUCGUAAAACUCUGUUAUUAGGGAAGAACAAAUGUGUAAGUAACUAUGCACGUCUUGACGGUACCUAAUCAGAAAGCCACGGCUAACUACG